rnacentral:misc_RNA from 1 species
CCACCGCCGAUUCCACGACGUCAUUCCGCGGCCCCAACGGUUGCACCACCACCGAUUCCGCUCCGAGCUCCGGCGAUACCGAAGAGAUGCAAAAACGAACGACCGAUACCGUUGCAACAGAGUGGACCGAAGAGAUCGACGCGUAUAUCCGACGAUAAAAAUACAGGCGUUGGAAAAGCUGAAUCAAGUUGCCCGAAGCCAGGGUCUAGGGGACAGCCCGGACAAAGAAAUUUGACAUCCGCAUCUGCCUCGGGAAGCCCUUGGCAGCAACCUCCGUUAUCCGAGGAUAGAAAACUGAUCGAUUUGGGUGGUCGGAACGUUUCCAAAGAUGUCAGCGACGACUCGGAUAAGGAUAAACAGCGAUCGGCAGGGAAGCCGAGCAAUCUCGAAGAGCUCCAAAAAGCCUCCAAGGACCUCGAAAAGCG